UACGUAGGGUGCAAGCGUUAUCCGGAAUUAUUGGGCGUAAAGAGCUCGUAGGCGGUUUGUCGCGUCUGCCGUGAAAGUCCGGGGCUCAACUCCGGAUCUGCGGUGGGUACGGGCAGACUAGAGUGAUGUAGGGGAGACUGGAAUUCCCGGUGUAGUGGUGGAAUGCGUAGAUAUCGGGAGGAACACCAGUGGCGAAGGCGGUUGCCUGGAGCUUUGCUGACGCUG
rnacentral:rRNA from 1 species